rnacentral:rRNA from 1 species
UGCAGUCGAACGGGAUCCAUCGGGCUUUGCCUGGUGGUGAGAGUGGCGAACGGGUGAGUAAUGCGUGACCGACCUGCCCCAUGCACCGGAAUAGCUCCUGGAAACGGGUGGUAAUGCCGGAUGCUCCAUCACACCGCAUGGUGUGUUGGGAAAGCCUUUGCGGCAUGGGAUGGGGUCGCGUCCUAUCAGCUUGAUGGCGGGGUAACGGCCCACCAUGGCUUCGACGGGUAGCCGGCCUGAGAGGGCGACCGGCCACAUUGGGACUGAGAUACGGCCCAGACUCCUACGGGAGGCAGCAGUGGGGAAUAUUGCACAAUGGGCGCAAGCCUGAUGCAGCGACGCCGCGUGAGGGAUGGAGGCCUUCGGGUUGUAAACCUCUUUUGUUAGGGAGCAAGGCACUUUGUGUUGAGUGUACCUUUCGAAUAAGCACCGGCUAACUACGUGCCAGCAGCCGCGGUAAUACGUAGGGUGCAAGCGUUAUCCGGAAUUAUUGGGCGUAAAGGGCUCGUAGGCGGUUCGUCGCGUCCGGUGUGAAAGUCCAUCGCUUAACGGUGGAUCCGCGCCGGGUACGGGCGGGCUUGAGUGCGGUAGGGGAGACUGGAAUUCCCGGUGUAACGGUGGAAUGUGUAGAUAUCGGGAAGAACACCAAUGGCGAAGGCAGGUCUCUGGGCCGUUACUGACGCUGAGGAGCGAAAGCGUGGGGAGCGAACAGGAUUAGAUACCCUGGUAGUCCACGCCGUAAACGGUGGAUGCUGGAUGUGGGGCCCGUUCCACGGGUUCCGUGUCGGAGCUAACGCGUUAAGCAUCCCGCCUGGGGAGUACGGCCGCAAGGCUAAAACUCAAAGAAAUUGACGGGGGCCCGCACAAGCGGCGGAGCAUGCGGAUUAAUUCGAUGCAACGCGAAGAACCUUACCUGGGCUUGACAUGUUCCCGACGAUCCCAGAGAUGGGGUUUCCCUUCGGGGCGGGUUCACAGGUGGUGCAUGGUCGUCGUCAGCUCGUGUCGUGAGAUGUUGGGUUAAGUCCCGCAACGAGCGCAACCCUCGC